UACGGAGGGUGCGAGCGUUAAUCGGAAUUACUGGGCGUACAGCGCGCGUAGGCGGUUUGUUAAGUCAGCUGUGAACGCCCCGGGCUCAACCUGGGAACUGCAGUUGAUACUGGCCGACUAGAGUAUGAAAGAGGGAGGUAGAAGUCCAUGUGUAGCGGUGAAAUGCGUAGAUAUAUGGAGGAAUACCAGUGGCGAAGGCGGCCUCCGGGUUCAAUACUGACGCUGAGGUGCGAAAGCGUGGGGAUCAAACAGG
rnacentral:rRNA from 1 species